rnacentral:tRNA from 1 species
UCUCUGGUGGUCCAGUGGCUAAAAUGCUGCACUUCCAAUGCAGGGGGCCCAGGUUCUAUCCCUGGUCUGGGAC